rnacentral:rRNA from 1 species
CAGUAGCCGCGGUAAUACGAAGGGUGCAAGCGUUACUCGGAAUUACUGGGCGUAAAGCGUGCGUAGGUGGUGGUUUAAGUCCGUUGUGAAAUCCCCGGGCUCAACCUGGGAAUGGCAGUGGAUACUGGCUCGCUAGAGUGUGUCAGAGGAUGGUGGAAUUCCCGGUGUAGCGGUGAAAUGCGUAGAGAUCGGGAGGAACAUCAGUGGCGAAGGCGGCCAUCUGGGACAACACUGACGCUGAGGUGCGAAGGCGUGGGGAGCAAACCGGAUUAGAUACCCCUGUAGUCCCUGUCUCUUAUAC